AAACUUAAAGGAAUUGACGGGGAGCACCACAACGGGUGGAGCUUUGCGGUUUAAUUGGAUUCAACGCCGGAAAUCUUACCGGGACCGACAGCAAUAUGAAGGCCAGGCUGAAGACUUUGCCGGAUUAGCUGAGAGGUGGUGCAUGGCCGUCGUCAGUUCGUACUGUGAAGCAUCCUGUUAAGUCAGGCAACGAGCGAGACCCACGCCCACAGUUGCCAGCGUACUCUCCGGAGUGACGGGUACACUGUGGGGACCGCCGCUGCUAAAGCGGAGGAAGGAAUGGGCAACGGUAGGUCAGUAUGCCCCGAAUAUCCCGGGCUACACGCGAGCUACAAUGGUUGGUACAAUGGGUAUCUACCCCGAAAGGGGACGGGAAUCUCCUAAAACCAAUCUUAGUUCGGAUUGAGGGCUGCAACUCGCCCUCAUGAAGCUGGAAUCCGUAGUAAUCGCGUUUCAACAGAACGCGGUGAAUACGUUCCCGGGCCUU
rnacentral:rRNA from 1 species